rfam:Eutrema salsugineum unplaced genomic scaffold scaffold_11, whole genome shotgun sequence.
AAACCAUGGUGAGGACAUUGGUUUGUAUUUUCUUUGAAUCUCUCUCAUGCUUCACUAAAUGACUCAUUAUGCUUUUGCGUGAAGGAGGAGAUCUCAUUCCUCAGCUU